rnacentral:misc_RNA from 1 species
UUUAGAGCAUGCCAGUGAUGAUGUUUUAAUGCUCAUAGUUGAUUCUAUUGGGGGGAAGAUGUCUAUUUGGAUGAAGCAGCUAUUUAUCGAAGUAUCUUCGCUAUAAUCCGAAAGAUUAUUGAACAGUACAUUGAAAAUAUCAGGGAAGCUUGUGUCGAUGUGGAUCGAGACUAUCCAAACAUGUUAUUGGCCAUCUGCUUUUGGAUUGUAGAAAGACAACAAGUAAAGUACGA